rnacentral:lncRNA from 1 species
AACGACCCUGAGAGGCACAACUUGUGCCGUUGGGGUCAGAGGUCAGGAGGAACCAGAGAGUGCAGACUGCUCAGGGUCAACAGGAAUGCUCUGCUUGUGAUGGUGGCGCCUGGAACCAGGCUGAUGGAAGCUCCAUUCAGCAUGUGCCCUUGGAAGAAGAAAGCGGAGAGACCAGCACGAGCAGUCAAAUGUUUCCACCUGGAAAUGACGCACACGACUUUGGCUCACAUUUCAUUGGAGCACCCAUGUAAGACCUCAGCUGGACCAAUUAGACAGGGUGGGAUUGCCAUUUGUGAACCUGGAAGCCAGGAGAUCCACUCUGGACCAACCUCAUUCCAUUUACAAGUUUGUCAUGCAGUACAAGGGAGUGGAUUUCCUGAGGAACUCGUGAAGUCCCAUCUCCUUCCCUCCUCAUGCGACUGAAUCUUGCCAACUGGAGUGGAGGGAAGUCAGACAGACAGCGUUUCAAGUGCCUUAUCCACUCCUCAUAUGCUCUCUUUGAAGUUUUUCUUUCACUCAUCAGUGGUAGGAUAUAAAACGUGGAGAGCAAGGGCUAUGUGUGGAUACAGUGAGAAGGCAGCCGUCUAUCUCCAAGCCAUGAAGAGAGGCCUCACCAGAAACUAAACCUACUGGCAUCUUGAUCUUGGACUUCAAGCCUCCAGAACUUCUUCAUCAGUUGACACUUGGGAUUUGUGUAGCGUGGAUGGCGGGGAUGGCGAUGUGUUCGUGGAAGGAGAAGGAGGAGGAAGAGGAAGGUGGAAGGCAGGGAAGUCACACAAUCCAGGAAAUUGUGAAUGAUCCUGUUGUAAAGAAGACUCUGGUUACCAAGAAUUCUUCAUGCAUGGAGACAAGUAUUUCUUUGGAGAAGGAUACACGGCUAGUCGUGUGGCCUGAGCACAUCACUGGGCUCCUGCAGUCUUUUCUGAAGUCUGGUGUGGGACUUCAGAGGAGACUUCAGGAGAGUUGAGCUUCACCAUUAAAUACUGAUCUUUACAGCAGUUUCAUUAACUUCUGUAGAGAUAAAUUACAUCCUUAUUUACUUGGCAAUCUUAGAACGUUGGGUAAUUAGAGUCUACCUUACUUUACCUUCUGCCAUGUCUGUG